rnacentral:rRNA from 1 species
UACAGAGGUCCCAAGCGUUGUUCGGAUUCACUGGGCGUAAAGGGUGCGUAGGUGGUGAGGUAAGUCGGAUGUGAAAUCUCCGGGCUCAACCCGGAAAUGGCAUUGGAAACUACCUUGCUGGAGGAUUUGAGGGGGGAUUGGAAUACUUGGUGUAGCAGUGAAAUGCGUAGAUAUCAAGUGGAACACCAGUGGCGAAGGCGAAUCCCUGGAAAAUACCUGACACUGGAGCACGAAAGCUAGGGGAGCAAACAGG